rnacentral:rRNA from 1 species
ACCCGCACAAGCAGCGGAGCGUGUGGUUUAAUUCGUUGCUACACGAAGAACCUUACCUGGGUUUGACAUAUAGGUUGUAGGGAACUGAAAAGGGACCGACCCUUCGGGGAGCCUAUACAGGUGUUGCAUGGCUGUCGUCAGCUCGUGUCGUGAGAUGUUCGGUUAAGUCCGCUAACGAGCGCAACCCUCGUCGUAUGUUAUAUGUGUCAUACGAGACUGCCGGUAAAAAGCCGGAGGAAGGUGAGGAUGAUGUCAAGUCAGCAUGACCUUUAUAUCCAGGGCUACACACACGCUACAAUGGUCUGUACAAUGGGUAGCCAAGCCGCGAGGCGGAGCCAAUCCUGAAAGCAGGCCUCAGUUCAGAUUGAAGUCUGCAACUCGACUUCAUGAAGUCGGAAUCGCUAGUAAUCGCGGAUCAGAACGCCGCGGUGAAUACGUUCUCGGGGUUU